GUUAUUGUGGUAUACACCUGUAGUCCCAGCUACCAGGGAGGCAGAGGCCAGUGGAUCUCUUGAGCUCAGGAGUUCUGAGCUGCAGUGGAUUAUGCAGAUCAGGAGUCCACACUAAAUGGGGUGUCAAUAUGGUGAGACCCCAGGAGCGGGGUGGGGUACCAGGUUGCCUACAGAGUGUGGAAUUCACCCACAUCAGAAACAGAGCAGGUAAAAUCUCUUAUGCUGAUCAGUGGUGGCAUCAGGCCUGUGAAUAUCUUGGGUACUUCCAGUCUAAGCAAGAUGAGGAGACCUAGUCCUCU
rnacentral:SRP_RNA from 1 species